GUGCUCCCUUCAGCAGCACACAUACUAAACAUUGGAACAAUACAGUAAUUAUCCUGGCCACUGUGCAAGGAUGACACGCAAAUUUUGUGAAAUAAAAAAAGAGAAA
rnacentral:snRNA from 1 species